AUGGGGCUGCUGGACCUUUGCGAGGAAGUGUUCGGCACUGCCGACCUUUACCGGGUGCUGGGCGUGCGACGCGAGGCCUCCGACGGUGAGGUCCGACGAGGCUACCACAAGGUGUCCCUACAGGUACACCCGGACCGGGUGGGCGAGGGCGACAAGGAGGACGCUACCCGCCGCUUCCAGAUCUUGGGAAAAGUCUAUUCCGUUCUCAGUGACAGAGAACAGAGAGCAGUGUACGAUGAGCAGGGAACAGUGGACGAGGACUCUCCUGUGCUCACCCAAGACCAAGACUGGGAGGCGUAUUGGCGGCUACUCUUUAAAAAGAUAUCUUUAGAGGACAUUCAAGCUUUUGAAAAGACAUACAAAGGUUCGGAAGAAGAGCUGGCUGAUAUUAAGCAGGCCUAUCUGGACUUCAAGGGUGACAUGGAUCAGAUCAUGGAGUCUGUGCUUUGCGUGCAGUACACAGAGGAACCCAGGAUAAGGAAUAUCAUUCAGCAAGCUAUUGACGCUGGAGAGGUCCCAUCCUAUAAUGCCUUUGUCAAAGAAUCGAAACAAAAGAUGAAUGCAAGGAAAAGGAGGGCUCAGGAAGAGGCCAAAGAAGCAGAAAUGAGCAGAAAGGAGUUGGGGCUUGAUGAAGGCGUGGAUAGCCUGAAGGCAGCCAUUCAGAGCUGCAGGAGAAUAUCUGGCAAGGUGCAUUUAAUAUUUGGAAAAAAGAUACGACCAGUAACCUACUUCAGGAAGAAAAUAAGCAUAACCUGGCAUCAGUGCUCACAUGUUCCACUUCAGCUGUGCCAAUAGGUGGUAGCAGAUAAUGUCGACUCAGGGGCAUCGGUGAGGGAGAGGAGAGCGAGUCGGCUGCCAGUGGGCUACAGAUCCCACCAACAAACACCAAGGUAUGAAAGCAUGAAGUUAUAACAAUACCAGCAAAUUGACUAGAAAUCAGAUAAAUGAAGCAGAUGAGUUUAAUGUGCACAGAAAACUUUAGGCUGCCUAUGUUUUUAAGUAGAGAUCUCAGGAUUUUUGGAAAAUUAGUUUUUAAAAUAGUGUUUUCUGAUUUUGUUUUGAAGCUCUAUACUCUGGGUACACAACAGAAGCUGGCCUUUUCUCUCCCACAGAACUGGAAUAAAACAUUUGUCCCUAUCUAGUAUUACACUUCUCUGCUGAUUUGGAUUUGUAAAUUCCCUGCUGAUGAUGGAAUUCUUGACAGUUCUGGACCUUCUGGUUAUCCUUUUCCCUAAUAACUAUAGUUCUAGGGUAAAGUUCCUAACCCUUCAUUCCCUUCAGUAGGAUCUGGAGCAGCUUGCAGUAUUCCUCAUCCUUAAGACAGUAAUUGAAACUGAAUGAUACUUUCAUGUCCCAGAAGUAACAAAGCAACUUACUUUUCAACUUUGAAAAAAAGUACUGUCAGUCAGAAGGAAUGAGAGAUUAAUUAUACAUCAAGACUACUCAUCCCCAAAUGAAUGAAUUUAUAGCUCCGUUGGUAUAGAUAUAGCUACAUCCACAUAAUAAUGCUUAACUUGGAAGCUGCAUUGAAAACACUGCUGUGGCCUUAUUAUCUUAUACCUUUGAGGAUAUUUUUAGAAAUUAAUCAUCCUAAGACACUUUGUGAAUCAACAGCUAAAAUAAUUCUGUUUCAAAUUGGCUCCUAGGUAUUUUUGCAUGAUGAGGCUCAGAGUGUGUAGUGAAUGAAGGGUGGGAAAGGCAAUUAUUUUUAGUGUCACUUCCUAGGAAGUGCUAAGGGAUAUUUUUCCUGGUAUGUAAGCAACUACUUAUCUGAGGUUUAUAAAGUUUUUAUUGUCAAUGGAAUAAGCAGAUCCCAGUGGUACAGAAAAACCUUAAAGAGGAAUUAACUAUUAUUUUGGAGUGAAUUUCACUGAAUAUGUUCCCACCGCGGAAAAUGUUUGAUUAAAUAAAUAGGUUCUUUAUUCCUUUUGUAACCCCAAUAUAGUAUUCUAGCCAACAUUUUAUUUUUACAAAUACACAGAACUCUUUAACUAGAUCAACAGAAAGAUUCAAUAUCUAUUUCAUUAAAAUUUAACCCCUGCUGGGUGCAGUGGUUCACACCUGUAAUCUCAGCACUUUGGGAGACUGAGGCAGGCAGAUUGCUUGAGCUCAGGAAUUGAAACCAGCCUGGGCAACAUGACAAGACCCCUGUCUCUAUUAAAAACACAAAAAGUUAACCUGACAUGGUGGCACCACACGCCUGUGGUCCCGGCUACUCGGGAGGCUGGGGUGGGAGAACCACUUGAGCCCAGAAGUUGAGGCUGCAGUGAGCCAUGAUCAUCCACUGCACUGCAGCGUGGGCGACAGGAGUGAGACUGUAUCUAAAAAAAUAAAAUAACAUUUAACCCCAUUAAAAAAUUUAUUGGAUCUAAACCCAUGGGCAAUCUGUCAUAAGACUACUUAAUGAUUAGUUUCUAGGCAUAGAUUUCAGUCUUAUAUUUAAAUUAACUCUAUGUAAAAUAUAUUAGUUUUACCACGGUUUCCAGAAGUUCUGCUUUUGAAACCUACACUCGGGCUCCUCUGAGGAUUUCUUCCACAGGUCUUGGUGUUCUAGCACGUGAAUGGCUCGUGCUGAUCGGAUGAAGGGUUCGUGGCGGUGGAUUGCGUCUCCUGGUGGACUGCACUGUGUAUGACAGAGAUGAUGUACUAAACUCCACAGCUCGAUUUGGCCAAUUUCGAGUUGAAAGGAUGGUAUUGGACCCAGGCAUCAUAAGUAGCUUGUCAUCAAGAUCUCUAGUAGCCAAAUCAGAAACCCACAAUGAAGUAAAGAUCAGUAUGUCAAGGAAGACAAGACUCCACGGGGUAAAACGCCUUAGACUAGAAAUUACAUUUAGGGGGAAAUAAAGCAAAAAAACCUUUCAAUAAGUAACACUAGUUUCCAGAUGGUACUCUAGCUCAGGCAUGAGAAUCUGUUCUUAAAAGUGGGACAUUAUUUCAAUCAUAAACAUAAUUUACUAGAAUGGACAUUUGGCAAAGCAAGUCCAUUAUCCACCUGCCAUCACAGUCACUUUUUUAGUCACCAGUGAAGGCAAGCCUGAAGGACACCUACCCCAAAGUGCUUCCCAAAAAUUUGCCACAGGGGCUGAUUCCUACUCUGUUUGAGGCAUUCUUUUGUGCUGAAAGAUUGUCACCAGAAAGACAACUGAAAGACAAAUAUUGCUGCUUGGGAGCAGUGGUGGCACCAGUGUGGCUGCCACUGUAGCGAUUAAAGUGCUGAGCAAGUUGGAGCUGGCAGGGAUUUGGGUUUGGAUUCCUUGGAAAGCUGGGAGUGGGCAAAGGGUCUUGUGCUGCCCAGAGCCAGAGCUGUUGGGACCACAGUAGCCCCAUUUGCAUAAAUAACUGAAAUACAACCUGUUUCUGUAAGUUGUCCAAUAAAUAAAAUACCACACCUAAACAGUUCAGUAGCUUAAAUACUGCCCUACAGAUUCAGGUCUGUAUUGUAUUUUUUUUUAAAGCAAGUGAGAGGACAUUUGACUAUUUUAAGACAUCUAAGACUAUCUGCACAAUUAAAUGGAAGAGAAGUGAAAGAAUAACACAGCUAAGCUCUGCCAUUUGCUCCUAUAGCUUUCAGCAAGUUCCUCAACCUUUCAGGCCACUUUGGUGUCCUCUAGUGCAAAACAUGGCACCCUGCUCGGAGGACUCUGAAGGGAUGCUGCCCAUCAAGGAACAGGGCUAAACCUGGAGACUGUUCUGGUCUUCUGCCUCUCUAGCAAUUCACUUACGCUUUUUUUUUUUUUUUUUUUUUUUUAAACACACCCUAACUGCUUUCUAAUUACAAAAUGUUUAGGCUUUAGCUGCCCUAUGUUCACCUUUAUUUUGUUCUAUGAACUUCUGGAUUUGAUUGCCUUCUCUAGCCAGGUGACUUUUAGAUCAGUCUCCAGAUGCAACCUCUUCCACAUUUCCAGUGAGAUGGCUCAUCACUGUAAACACACCCCAGAAGAAACCCAUCUUUUCCGCCAACACAGGCUUCCCUCAAGCUUGAAAUCUGAGAUAACUUUGAUUCCUCUAUUUCUAUAGAAUUUCACUUACUUGACAUUAUCUCCUAAAAUAGCUCAUUCGUUUCUCACCCUGUGUGGCCGCUUGAGUGCAGACCCUUAGUAGCUCACGCGUGGACUUCUGCAUUGACCCCUUACCUUCAGUUCCUUCUACUCCAUCCAUUUACACUAUGGUGAAAUUGAUCUUUCAGAUUCCUGAUUUAAAUAUAUGUGCUCCCAAACCAAAAUUCAUACAUUGCUGGAAGGAGUGUAAAAUGGUACAACUCCUUUGGGAAACCAUAUGGCAAUUUCCUAUGAAACUAAACAUACACCUGUCCUAUGACCCUUUCUAGGUAUCAACUCAAGAGAAAUGAGACCGUAAAACCACAAAAAAGACCUAUACAAGAAUAUUCAGAGUACCUUUAUGUGUAAUACCUCUAACCUGGAAAUGACUUAUGUUAAUUAAUAGGAGAGCAGAUGGAUAAAUCGUGUGUAUUCUUAAAAUAGAAUACUCAGCAAGGGAGGAGGUCAUAACGUGGAUGAAUCCCAAAAACACGACACUCAAAACCCUCCACAAUCUGGUCCUAACAUUCAUUAGUUCCAUAGUCACUUCUUUCCCGCUAAUCACACCAUGGUCUAUUUUAAUUCUAGAAGAUUGUCAAUUAUCUUUGAUCAGAAGCAUUAAAGUUCUGACCUAUCUUCCGUUCUUCUAUGUCAAAAAUGAUCUAUCUUUCCUAAAUAUUUUGUUUUUUCGUAUCUCCAAACCUUUCCCCACAUCAUUCCUCCUACCUAGAAUGCCCUUGCUGCUCUCCUUUGCUUAUCCAAAGCCUCAUCUUUCAAGGACAAGUUCAAAACCUAUACUUACCCACCAGAAUGCUUUGGGGCUGUCAUAGCACUCAUUCUGGACAGCACGCACAUGGCACUCAGUUACGAAAAUGCCACAUAUGGUUAGGUCUUUUUUUACCCACGUAUGUUACAUUAUCAGCCCCCCGAUGGUGGAGACCAUGUCCCUUGGAUGUUUUACUCCCCAGGAGUUUUUGUGGUUGCUUGGUUGGCACUCAAUACAUGCAUCCUGAUAAACUGAUUUUGCUUCCCCUCUGUCUCCCUUUUACACUGUAUAGUCUGAAAAUGUUGAACUUCUUACAGGAGCUUGUCCAUUAGGGAGCGAUUUCUUGGCUGUAGAGGCAUCCCAUGAACCAAGAGACCAUUUACAUUUGGCUGAUGACUGCUUGCUUGACAGAGACUCAUCUAUGUGUUGAAAGAAGACAGUACUCAUGAUCGGUUGGAGAAGAUACCUGUUUGGUUUUCCAACUUUGCCAAAAUUCUGGAGGCCAGAAGUCCAAGAUCAAGGUGCUGUCCUGGCUUUCCGGUGGCCACCUUCUUUCUCUGUCCUCACAUGGCCUUUUCUCCACGUUGGAAGAAUUUUGAGAAGCAUGAUAAAAAAUGCAUAAAUUGCCCUGAACAGACUGAGAGCAGAAAUCUAGACCUGGAACAUGUUAUUGGCCACUGGAGGGAGACACUUGUUAUUUAGUGGCAAAAAGCUUAGUGAAAUGGUCUCCUGUGGUCUUGUAGAAAGCACAACUUGUAAGUGAUGAUCCAAUCCAUGUGUUGAAGUUUCACAGAUCUACAGAUGGAGAGAAAUUGUGUAUAGAACCUGUACUGAAUAGAUUACAUCUAGGAACAUCAUCCACACCAGGACCUGAUUUAGAUGAUAAGAUUCUGGACCUUUGAGCUGAUGCUACAAUGGGAUGGGACUCUUGAAAACCACGGGAGUGAGGUGAAUGUAUUUUGCAUGUGGGAGAACAUGAAUCAUUGGGGCAUGUAGUAAACAGACUUUAAGGUGGCCCAUGCAUGAUUCCUACCUCUUGGUGUUCAUGCCUAUGUGUAAUCCCCCCACUCUGAGUGUGGGCAAGACUUGUGACUUGCUUCAGACCAACAGAUAAUGGUAAAGGUAAUGGGAUGUCAUUCCCAUGAUCACGUUAUAUUAUAUAGGCUUUUGUCUUGUUAGUCCACUAGCUCUCAGUCUUUCUUCCUGGCUUUGAAGAAUAAAGCUGACAUAAAUACUACAGCUAUAAGGAACUGUAUGCUUCUAAGAAUACACAAAAGUGUAAAUGGCUUCUUCUCUAGUUGAGUCUCCACAUGAGAGCCCAGCCCUGGCCAACACCUUAAACGCAGCCAGGUAAAACCCUAAACAGAGAACUAGCUAAGCUGUUCCUGGACUUCAGGCUUACAAAUAUGUGAGGUAUGUUGUUUGAAGCCACUGUUUGUGACAGUUAAGCAGCACAGAAAACCUAUAUAAACAAUUCUUAACAAGUGAAAUGUAUAUCUAACUAUAAGCCAGCCAUUCUACUAUGAAGAAUUUACCCAACAGAAAAAAAUAUGUAUGCCUCCAAUUUCUUGUACAAUAGUGCUCAUAACACCAUUACAUGUAAUGGCCCAAAGCUGAAAAGAAUCAAACUGGCCAUCAACAGAUAAACAAAUUGUGAUACAAUGGAAUACUACUCAGCAAUAAAAAGGAAUAAAUUAUUGAUACACAUAA